AUUGAACGCUGGCGGCAGGCUUAACACAUGCAAGUCGAACGAGUGGCGGACGGGUGAGUAAUGCUUGGGAAUCUAGCUUAUGGAGGGCGAUAACUACGGGAAACUGUAGCCAAUACCGCGUACCAUAGGAUGAGCCCAAGUGGGAUUAGGUAGUUGGUGAGGUAAAGGCUCACCAAGCCGACGAUCUCUAGCUGGUCUGAGAGGAUGACCAGCCACACUGGGACUGAGACACGGUCCAGACUCCUACGGGAGGCAGCAGUGGGGAAUAUUGCACAAUGGGCGCAAGCCUGAUGCAGCCAUGCCGCGUGUGUGAAGAAGGCCUUCGGAUUGUAAAGCACUUUCAGCGAGGAGGCGUUACUCACAGAAGAAGCACCGGCUAACUCCGUGCCAGCAGCCGCGGUAAUAC
rnacentral:rRNA from 1 species